UAUAUAUAUAUAUAUAUAUAUAUAUAUAUAUAUAUAUAUAUAUAUAUAUAUAUAUAUAUAUAAUAUAAAGGUCAGCAGCAUAUUUGGUGACUUGUAGAGACCGGGUGUUACACAACGAAUAAGAGAGAGAUCAAUGCACUAAGAUUCAUUAUUUGUCAUCAUUUACCCACCAUCAUGACGUUCAUAACCUUUAAAUUGUUCUUAAGAAAUUCUUCUUUGUGUUUCACUGAAGGAAUAGAGUUGUACAGGUUUGGAUUGACAUGAGAUGGUGCAUAAGUUCAUUUUUGGUUAAACUGUCCUUUUAAUGUCAGUAGGUGCAUGCACACACAUCAUGGUACCAGUAAACAUUUGAAGUGCUUUUGAAACGAGUUAUUAAAGGAAGAGUUCACCCAAAAUUGCUGAAAUUCUACUCACUCUCAGGCCAUCCAGCAUGUAGAUUAGUUUGAGUCUUCCUAGGAACAGAUUUGGAGAAAUGUAGCAUUCCAUCACUUGCUCACCAAUGGAUGCUCUGCAGUGAAUGGGUGCCGUCAGAAUGAGAGUCUGAUAAAAACAUCACAAGUAAUCCACACCUCUCCAGUCCAUCAGUUAAUGUCUUGUGAAGUGAAAAGGUGCAAGUUUGUGAUGAACAAAUCAAUCAUUAAGGCAUUUUUUUAACUUUAAACUGUUGUUUCCUCUAUCCAUGAUAUUGUUUUCUCCAGUGAAAAAGUCGUGUCAUUUGAAUCGGGCGAGAAAUAUGAACCGAUCAAACACUAUAUACAAGUGACAACAUUAAAAAAAAUCAGUUCGAAGCAAAUAUGUGAGGGGACCACAGGAGAUGGGAUUUUUCACUGGAGGAAGCAUUAUAUUAAGGAUUAUGGACUGAAUUUUGGGCAGAAGUGGCUGGUUCAAGUUAAAGCCUCUUAAUGACGGAUUUGUUUUUUACAAAAAAUGAAACUUUUCUUUUCACUAGACAUUAAUUGGUGGACUGGUGUGGAUUAUUGUGAUGUUUUUAUCAGCUGUUUGAACUCUCAUUCUGACGGCACCCAUUCACCACAGAGGAUCCUUUGGUGAGCACGUGAUGGAAUGCUACAUUUCUCCAAAUCUGUUCUGAUGAAAAAACAAACUCAUGUACAUCUUGGAUGGCAUGAGUAAAUUUAUCAAAUUGUAAUUUUAGGGCAAACAAAUCCCUUUAAACAAAUACUGCAUGUCUCUCUCUCUUUUUCGUUUCCCGCCCAGUUGCUUGCCGACAUGUAGCAUGUGUGUUGCAUUACAUACGGGCCCAGAAUGUGUCAUAAUCGGUGGACGAGGGCUGUUCUAUCGUGUUUGUUUACUACGAAUCACAGAGUGAGAACAAAGGGAGAGACCGAGGAGUCAAAUGUACAUUAGGUUUUUUGUUUUCUUUUUGUACUUUGUUUUAAUUUAUUAAAUACAUCUGAGAUGGCA
ensembl:lncRNA